CUCACUGGUCAUAAAACUACACAGGCAGGCGCAAAGCAAAUGCGUUUUGAUUGAAUGGAACUUUAGAGUCGAAAGCAUACGAGACCGAAGAGAAAGUUAAAUCGGGAGAGAGAGGAUGCAUUGAACCAUGUGCUACAACACAUGUGUUAGUAGCUGUUGAUAAGAAGCAGUGAUAAAUGAAAACCUUUUUAGCUCACGUGUAGGUUACCGUCUCGGAUCCUCCUGAAGUUUGUAACUAUAUCGCGACUGAAAACUGCUGCAACGAAACGAACAUAAGGUUGAGGAAUAGAAACCGACUGAUAUUCAGCCUGUGUAGGCUUACACUUAUUGCACAAUUCCUUUAUUUGUCUUUUGAAACUCAUUGUGUUUUGCUUGGAUAUCAUGCCACGCGUUCUCGUUCUCGUCUGCUUGGAUUAAUUGAUAACCACAUGCACCUGCUUGGUUGGAUUUUUGGAACCUCCACAACAUGCAGGCCUAUUUACAUUUAGGCAAAACAUGUUUAUAUUCUGAAUCGUGAAUGCACACGUCUUGGUCAUUAUUGAACACUAGUUGACUUGAUUCCUUGGAUCUUUCAUAACUGGAAUCAUCUUUGCAUGAGCCUGGAACGUUGGACCAAGGAUACCGCGCGCCCCUGAAGUUUACGUUUUGGAGAGAAUACUAUUUCUAACAGCAUAUGCAUGGCAUACAUUGCUCAUCAUAUCGGAUAUCAAAAUGAUGCGCACCGGCCCAAGCCUUGUCUACGAGUGGCUACAGACUAUUCAGGUGCCCCAAUACUUGGAGGCGUUUGUGGACAAUGGCUACGAUGAUUUGGAAGUUUGUAAACAAAUUGGGGACCCCGAUCUUGACGCCAUAGGGGUACACGCACGGCACCACCGACAAAAAGUACUCAACGCGGUGAAGAAGUUAAGAGAGGAGGACAAGAAAAAAUCUCCCGGUCUUUACUUCACCCUCGAGCCUCUGAACCCCUCUCCCCUGAGCCCCUUGUUGGGCACCAGCACCACGCUCAUCACAGAUUGCGAGAAUGACUUCCAGUGGUCAAGGUCAUGGACAGAAUCCAAUCAGGAGGAGGUUGGAAAUGGAGGUCACCAACAAUCAUCUUGUCCAACAAACCACAAUCUAAGUUUAACUGAUGAUUGUAAAGAGUUGGUGGCCAAUCCCAAACUGAAGGUCUUGAUCAGGGAUAAACUUGUGAAAGAUGGAGUCAACCACAAUGAGCCGCCAUACACCUAUAAGGAUGGCUCGUUGGGAACCUUUGAGGACUUGGCUCAGGAGUACUCAGAGUAUUACAGCACUUCUCUCACUGAAGUCCAAGACAGAAUGGAGGAGAUCUGCAAACGCAAACUUGUACAAGUUGCAGAGUCAGAGAUGGAAAAGGUUGACUUCGUGCCCACAUCACUGCAGCUUCCCUCACAGAUCCAGGAUUCGCUAGGGCUGAGCAGCAGUAGCACUGUGUCCACUCCCGAGACAGAGAGAAGAUUGUCCGUGCAUAAAUCAAGUUCUGAGGAUGCGUCAGUGGGAAAAUGGGACGGAAAGAGACUGAAAAACAAGUCAUUCUGGCAGAAUUUCCGGAAGUCGCAGAAAGGUGUCGUGCGGCAGACCACGAGAGGUGAGGACAUAGGUUUUGUAGCCAGUGACAUCACUAUGAGUGAUGAAGAGCGCAUCCAGCUGAUGAUGAUGGUCAAGGAGAAGAUGAUAAGCGUGGAGGAGGCCUUGGCAAGGCUGAAAGAGUUUGAGAGCCAGAGCAGACAGAGCUGCAGCACUGAUCUUACAGAAUGGCCUGAUGCGCCCAGUCCAACCCUGAACGAGUCCUCCAACUGCAAUCCAGGUGAGCAGUCGGAGGGUGAACAGGAGGAGUCUGGGACGUUCAGACGGCUCCAUAAGCUGGUCGGCUCCACUCGCAGGGUCCGCAAGAAACUCCUCAAGAUCGACGAGUCCAAGAAGCCUGAGUCUGACGAGUCUCUGAGUAUGGUUGGGCCUGUCCCGGGUGAUGCCAUGUCCUCUCUGUCCCCGUACUCUGGGGUUCAGAAGAAGCAGUCUGGCGGGUGUCACCACGUUGACUCCCUGGCCUCCACCUUGCGCGACCAGCUGACUCAUGACCUUCGAGACUCAGACAGCCUGACCACCUCCCCCUCCUCCUCCUCCUUGGACACCUGCAGCAGCAACACACACACCCGCAGCCUGGAUACAGUCUCCAGCACCAGCCAGCGACUGUCCACAGCCUUCAGUAAGACAGGAGGAUCCAGCCCAGCCUGUAGCCCAGGGAGAUGCCCCAGUGGCGACGUGAGGGCCGGGGGUAGUGGUUCUUCCCUGUCAGAGAUAGAGGUUGGUGGUGGAGAGGAUGGACCCAGGAUGGCCCGGUCAGUCACGGAUGGAGAGAUCAGGAGAGUAAUCGGCCCACUCAGCUACCAUGGGAGAACCUGUAGCUUUGGUGGGUUUGAUCUGACCAACCGGUCUCUGCACAUGGUCACCGGAGAUCAGGACCUCACUAACAAAGAUGGGGAUGCCAGUGUGAAAGGUGUAGUCAAGUCUCCACAGACGAACCAUCGAAUCUCUUUGGGCAAGAAAGUGAAGUCCGUGAAAGAAACCAUGAGAAAACGCAUCUCGAAGAGAUACCACUGCGCUCUCUCUGAACAGUUAAGCCCAGACCGUAUGUCCAGCGGGCCCCAUUCCCCCCACAGCCACACAGACACAGAGUCACUGGAGAAAAUCAAGCUGAAGGCUGGAGGGUCAGUGGAGAGCCUGAGGAGCUCCCUCAGCGGACAGAGCUCCAUGAGUGGUCAGACAGUGGGCACCACAGACUCCUCCAACAGCAACAGAGAGAGUGUGAAGUCUGAGGAUGGAGAGGAGGAUGAACUUCCCUACAGAGGACCCUUCUGUGGUCGAGCUAUGGUGCACACUGACUUCACCCCCAGCCCCUACGACACUGACUCUCUCAAACUGAAGAGAGGUGAUGUGAUUGACAUCAUCAGCAAGCCUCCAAUGGGGACGUGGAUGGGCCUGCUGAACAGUAAGGUGGGAACAUUUAAGUUCAUCUACGUGGACGUUCUGGCUGAGGAGGAAGACAAACCUAAGCACACCCGACGGAGGAGGAAGGGACGGCAGCCCAAACCCACAUCUGUUGAGGAACUCCUGGAACGCAUCAACCUCAAAGAGCACCUGCCCACGUUCCUCUUCAAUGGCUAUGAGGACCUGGAUACCUUUAAGCUUCUGGAAGAGGAGGAUCUAGACGAGCUUGACAUCGGAGACCCUCAGCACAGGGCUGUGCUGCUCACCGCUGUGGAGCUUCUGCAGGAGUACGACGGUAGCAGCGACCCGGACCGUAGCAGCCAGACAGGGGGUUCUCAGGAGAAGCUGUUACUGGACCGCCGGGGCCUACUGGGGGACUCCCCACGAGACUCUGGCUGCUACGAGAGCAACGAGAAUCUGGAGAACGAAGGGAGGGGCAAAAAGACGUCUUCUUCCUUGAGUAGGUCCUCGUCUGGUUUUCAACCCAGUCACCUCCCAUCCCCAGAGUCCACCGGCCUCCCCCUCACCCCGACCCACCCCAGCAAGACCACCUUACAGACCAGACCAGAGCACCAGUCCACUACCUUACCAUCUCUAGGAGCCUCCAUGACCAGCUGCAACCUUCUGAGCACAGGCUGGAGCCAGAGCCAUCACAGUCACACCCACAGAGCCAUGCCACUGAGAAGCUGGAGCUGUGGUAACCUGGGCUUGGCAGGUAAGCCUACUCCCACAGCCCUGGGGCCGCUGAGACCCUGCCUCCCGUUGGGGGAGCUUCACUCAGACCAGGGCCUCCACACCACUGAUCUCCACACCCUGGAAGACAUGAAGCCACCUCAUACCACCAUGUCCAAGGCUAAGGGACAGGGCUACCCUACACAAGAGGAGGCCCUACAGCAGUUGUUGACACACUCUGAAGGAUCUUUCCUGCCCUCACAACCACUGCUCACCUCACCUUGUAGUGUUCUGUCUGAUAUGUUCGAGUUGGACAUGGGAGUUCCCAGGUUAACAGACCUCCUUCCAUACACACACCUCAAAAUAUCUACUCCAGGACAUAGACCCAAGCAUCGUUCAGCCAAGCCUUUCCUGUCAAACCCAUGUAUACCAUCGUCACUCCCAGCAAUGACCAGUGACGUUGGCAGUGCCUAUAAACUCUUCUCUAUAGAUGUCGCCUCUUUAAAGGAUGAAGUUAUUACAGAGGCAACAACCCAACCGUGCAGCUCAGACCUGGCAACCCAAACCUGUAUCUCGGACUGUGACCUGGCAGACUCUCCUCUCCAGUCUGAAGCUCACAGGACGCAGCCUGCUGGGGGAAUGGAAACUAUGCCUGUCAGGUCGGUCAACCUGGGACCCCUCCUGGAGGAAAGACUGGCGUUAGAGGGGAUAAAUCUGACAGCGGAGCCCUUCUCUGACAAGUAUGGUCGCUAUGGAAUCCCCCAGUCUCUGGUCCAGAGGUACGCCACUGACCUGAACCAGCCUCUAACAGAGACCAUGUAUGCCUUGGACCUGCUCAGACUCUCACAGCUCCGCAAGCAGCAGCGCAUGGCAGUGUGUCAAAAGCCACAGACCCUAGCGCUCGGACUAACAGCAGUGACUGACAACUGACACGAAUAUAAUUUACUGCAGCUUACUGAGUUUCCUAUCAAGGUGUCAUAUCAACCCCACAGAUACCCCCAGGACCCUGGCCCUGCUCAAGGACGGCUCUAGCCUGCUUACAGCACUCCAGGAUGCCCUGGCGGUCCCUUGGCUCCACCUUCAAGUGCCAGUCGUCCGCCUGCCUACGGUACCAAACAGUCGCACAAAGACAUCAACUGUCUUUCCUCCAAAGAGCAUACAGAUUUAACAUGUAGUGAACAUGUGGAAAGUUGUUAUAGUUCCUAGUGGUAGAACCUGGGCAUCCCCCUUUCUAUUUGUAUCAUCAUGUCAUUUUGUUUAUUUCAGAGUAUUCCUCGUCAUCAUGUAAAGAGCAUCUAAUUUUAUGAUGCAAUGAUGCUUUUUAAUAAAGUUGAACUGGACUUGC